rnacentral:rRNA from 1 species
CAUAGGUUAAUGAGGCGAACCGGGGGAACUGAAACAUCUAAGUACCCCGAGGAAAAGAAAUCAACCGAGAUUCCCCCAGUAGCGGCGAGCGAACGGGGAGGAGCCCAGAGCCUGAAUCAGUGUGUGUGUUAGUGGAAGCGUCUGGAAAGGCGCGCGAUACAGGGUGACAGCCCCGUACACAAAAAUGCACAUGCUGUGAGCUCGAUGAGUAGGGCGGGACACGUGGUAUCCUGUCUGAAUAUGGGGGGACCAUCCUCCAAGGCUAAAUACUCCUGACU